rnacentral:rRNA from 1 species
GAUGAACGCUCGCGAUAGGCUUAACACAUGCAAGUCGAGGGGCCGCACAAGGUAGCUUGCUAUCUGGGUGGCGCCCGGCGCACGGGUGCGUAACGCGGAUACAACUUGCCCUAUACAGGAGUAUAACCCGUCGAAAGACGGACUAAUACUGCGUAUGCUCACAACUUGUCGUCAAGUGGUGAGGAAAGAUAUUCGGUAUAGUAUAGGCAUGCGUCCCAUUAGCUUGUUGGUGAGGUAACGGCUCACCAAGGCAACGAUGGGUAGGGGAACUGAGAUGUUUUGCCACCACAAUGGUAAUGCGACCCGGACCAGAAUCGUACGGAAGGAAGCAGUGAGGAAUAUUGGUCACUGGGCGCGGGCGUGAAACAGCCAAGUCGCGUGAAGGAUGACUGUCUUAUGGAUGGUAAACUUCUUUGAUACGGGAAUAACAAGAGUCACGUGUGACUUCCUGAAGGUACCGUAUCAGUAAGCCUCGGCUAACUACGUG